UCUUUCAACUUACACUUAUAGAUAAGCUAAUAUCUUUCAUAGGACAUAACAAAUUUAGUAGAUUCUAAGUCAAAAGAAUAUAUUGGCAUGUUGAAAGUUGAAGUGCUAAUGAGAUUGUCUUAUUUUCUUUGUGUUUGUGGUGGGAAUGACCGGAAUGCUGCAUUUGCAUAACCAAUUACUUGGACAGGGAAGAAUUAAGGAGGUUGCCAUGUUCCCAUGUCUUCCACCUCAAGUGCAUAGAUCAAUGGCUCCAAAUUAUAUCUUCUUGUCCUCUUUGUAAACAAGAACUAGGGAGUUUAUGUGGAUCAAGGAUUUUGAUCUGGAAGGCCUUAACAAACUCUUCUCAUUGUGUUCUUUCUUCUACCUCAAGGUGCUUAGUAUGGUGUUAAGAUAUUGCCUGGUGUUCCAUGGUACAAAUAACGCCUCCUCCAUCAGAAAUCUCUUGGUUCGCUAAUGGUCAUUAUUCUCAUAAGGACUGUGCAAUAUAAUUUCUCUAAGCUGAGGCAGUUAACAUCAAUGAAGAAUGCAUUACGUUUUGAGAAGAAGAGUUGAAGAAUGAAGUUUUGAGAUUAAGACAAUUUUGAGAUCAUGACGAAGGCCAGCAGCUUCCAAGGGAUGAUCAAGGCUUGCUUAGGAAACUCUAGUUACUCUAUAUUGAAGAGAGGACACCUAUAAAACAAUAUUGAUAUAUUGUGGGGUGUUAAGUAGUACUUUAGACUAAACUAUCAUCAAUUUCAAUUUGAGCAAUUUUCAUUAAUGUAUGAUGUUGGGGAUGU